rnacentral:rRNA from 1 species
UACGGAGGGAGCUAGCGUUGUCCGGAAUUACUGGGCGUAAAGCGCACGUAGGCGGACUACUAAGUCAGGGGUGAAAUCCCGGGGCUCAACCCCGGAACUGCCUUUGAUACUGAUAGUCUCGAGUCCGGAAGAGGUGAGUGGAAUUCCGAGUGUAGAGGUGAAAUUCGUAGAUAUUCGGAGGAACACCAGUGGCGAAGGCGGCUCACUGGUCCGGUACUGACGCUGAGGUGCGAAAGCGUGGGGAGCAAACAGG